AAAACUAACUUCCUUUCAGAACUAUCAGACCUGACACAGAUGCUAAACACAAACAUUUUCCAAAAAGACGGAGCACACGUGAAGAUAAUAUACAUGCAAAGCAAUAUGUGUGUUGGUUUGUUCUGUAGAUCUUGGGUGAAUGAGUGUCUCUGUGUUGGUUCACAGAUUCUGAUCCUGAACUCCCAGUCAGAAGAACAAACAAGGCAUUGCCACCAUCCAGUUCUGAUCCUGAACUCCCAGUCAGAAGAACAGACAGUUAUGAGGCACUGCCACCAUACAUGUCUGAAGUCCAGGAUGAUUUGUCUAAAGCAGAAACCAGGAAGGAGCCGU